AUUCAUGUUCUGGCUUUUGCCAGCACUCAUCAGCUGGCUCACUGGAGCUGUCAGGCCAGGGAGAGGCAGCAAGCAGCCCAACUCCUAAUUGGGAAGGGUCGAGGGGACUGAGGAAAUAGCAGCAAAAAAGCUGGAGAAUGAGGGGGAAAAUGAAUGAGCUCGUAAGCACAGCGACAAGUGAAGGAUAUCGUCAAAGAUUCUUGGGCAAAGUUAGCCUCAGUUGUAACUCCGCAGGCUUUGUGAAAUUUUGGGUGUGAUGAGCUGAGAGGACUUCAUAUGUUCCAGGAAACAACUGAGCUAACCACCCUGUUGUGAUUUUGUGAUGCACAGUCUGGAAAAAUACAUGUCUUUCAACUAAGAUGGAAAAGAAUCAGUGAGCUGCAGCCCAGCGAUGGAGAGCAAUCCUGUAUGACAAAUCACCAUGCACUCCAAGUAAUGGAGGGGAAAGAAGGAGAAGAGAAUGAGCUUUGUUUUGAAGCUUCCAGCAGGUAGCUAUGUACCAGAUCUGAUUUGUACCUGCAAGUGCAUCUGUGUGGUUCAAAAUUUGGGUGUGUGAACUAAUAACCAUGUAUUUAGAGGCCUUGCUAAGUUCUUUUCUGAAAAAUAAGUCUAUAAAGGCUGCAUAUAAGAAAGUUAUAUCUCCCCACAGUCAGACUGUGAGCAACGUUGCCAUUUGUUCUCAGAGGAUACUGUCUUUUUAAUAAAACAACAUGAUUUAA